AUCCAGCCGACGAGUCCCGAAUAGGACGAAACACGAGUCCUGGAU
rnacentral:hammerhead_ribozyme from 1 species